GUUCUCACUUCAACAGCACAUAAUCUAAAAUUGAAAUGAUACAGAGAAGAUUAGCAUGGCCCGUGCGCAAGGAUGACACACAAAUUUGUGAAGCGUUCCAUAUUUUU